UAACACAUGCAAGUCGAACGGUAACAGGAAGAAGCUUGCUUCUUUGCUGACGAGUGGCGGACGGGUGAGUAAUGUCUGGGAAACUGCCCGAUGGAGGGGGAUAACUACUGGAAACGGUAGCUAAUACCGCAUAACGUCGCAAGACCAAAGAGGGGGACCUUCGGGCCUCUUGCCAUCGGAUGUGCCCAGAUGGGAUUAGCUUGUUGGUGAGGUAACGGCUCACCAAGGCGACGAUCCCUAGCUGGUUAGAGAGGAGGUCCAGCCACACUGGAACUGAGACACGGUCCAGACUCCUACGGGAGGCAGCAGUGGGGAAUAUUGCACAAUGGGCGCAAGCCUGAUGCAGCCAUGCCGCGUGUAUGAAGAAGGCCUUCGGGUUGUAAAGUACUUUCAGCGGGGAGGAAGGGAGUAAAGUUAAUACCUUGCUCAUGACGUACCCGCAGAA
rnacentral:rRNA from 1 species